CUAUCAUUAACUGAAUCCAUAGGUUAAUGAGGCGAACCGGGGGAACUGAAACAUCUAAGUACCCCGAGGAAAAGAAAUCAACCGAGAUUCCCCCAGUAGCGGCGAGCGAACGGGGAGGAGCCCAGAGCCUGAAUCAGUGUGUGUGUUAGUGGAAGCGUCUGGAAAGGCGCGCGAUACAGGGUGACAGCCCCGUACACAAAAAUGCACAUAUUGUGAGCUCGAUGAGUAGGGCGGGACACGUGGUAUCCUGUCUGAAUAUGGGGGGACCAUCCUCCAAGGCUAAAUACUCCUGACUGACCGAUAGUGAACCAGUACCGUGAGGGAAAGGCGAAAAGAACCCCGGCGAGGGGAGUGAAAAAGAACCUGAAACCGUGUACGUACAAGCAGUGGGAGCCUCUUAAUGGGGUGACUGCGUACCUUUUGUAUAAUGGGUCAGCGACUUAUAUUCUGUAGCAAGGUUAACCGAAUAGGGGAGCCGAAGGGAAACCGAGUCUUAACUGGGCGUUAAGUUGCAGGGUAUAGACCCGAAACCCGGUGAUCUAGCCAUGGGCAGGUUGAAGGUUGGGUAACACUAACUGGAGGACCGAACCGACUAAUGUUGAAAAAUUAGCGGAUGACUUGUGGCUGGGGGUGAAAGGCCAAUCAAACCGGGAGAUAGCUGGUUCUCCCCGAAAGCUAUUUAGGUAGCGCCUCGUGAAUUCAUCUCCGGGGGUAGAGCACUGUUUCGGCAAGGGGGUCAUCCCGACUUACC
rnacentral:rRNA from 1 species